AUACGGAGGGUGCAAGCGUUACUCGGAAUUACUGGGCGUAAAGCGUACGUAGGCGGUUGGUUAAGUUAGAUGUGAAAGCCCCGGGCUUAACCUGGGAACUGCAUUUAAAACUGGCGAACUAGAGUUGAGUAGAGGGGAGUGGAAUUUCAGGUGUAGCGGUGAAAUGCGUAGAGAUCUGAAGGAACACCAGUGGCGAAGGCGACUCCCUGGACUCGAACUGACGCUGAGGUACGAAAGCGUGGGUAGCAAACGGGAUUAGAAACCCUAGUAGUCC
rnacentral:rRNA from 1 species